GACGAACGCUGGCGGCGUGCUUAACACAUGCAAGUCGAACGGUGAAGGGGUCUGCUUUUGUGGGCCCUGGAUGAGUGGCGAACGGGUGAGUAACACGUGAGUAACCUGCCCCCUUCUUCUGGAUAACCGCAUGAAAGUGUGGCUAAUACGGGAUAUUCUGGGUCUGUCGCAUGAUGGGUCUGGGAAAGAUUGCGCCUUUGGGUGUUUUUGGUGGGGGAUGGGCUCGCGGCCUAUCAGCUUGUUGGUGGGGUGAUGGCCUACCAAGGCGGUGACGGGUAGCCGGCCUGAGAGGGUGGACGGUCACACUGGGACUGAGACACGGCCCAGACUCCUACGGGAGGCAGCAGUGGGGAAUAGUGCACAAUGGGCGCAAGCCUGAUGCAGCGACGCCGCGUGAGGGAUGGAGGCCUUCGGGUUGUAAACCUCUUUCGCCAGUGAAGCAGGCCUGCUCCGUGUGGGUGGGUUGACGGUAGCUGGAUAAGAAGCGCCGGCUAACUACGUG
rnacentral:rRNA from 1 species